rnacentral:rRNA from 1 species
AGUAAUGUCUGGGAAACUGCCUGAUGGAGGAGGAUAACUGCUGGAAACGGUAGCUAAUACCGCAUAACGUCGCAAGACCAAAGAGGGGGACCUUCGGACCUCUUGCCAUCGGAUGUGCCCAGAUGGGAUUAGCUAGUAGGUGGGGUAACGGCUCACCUAGGCGACGAUCCCUAGCUGGUCUGAGAGGAUGACCAGCCACACUGGAACUGAGACACGGUCCAG